UGGGGAAUAUUGGACAAUGGGGGGAACCCUGAUCCAGCCAUGCCGCGUGUGUGAAGAAGGCCUUAUGGUUGUAAAGCACUUUAAGCGAGGAGGAGGGUACUGGUAUUAAUACUACCAGCUACUGGACGUUACUCGCAGAAUAAGCACCGGCUAACUCUGUGCCAGCAGCCGCGGUAAUACAGAGGGUGCGAGCGUUAAUCGGAUUUACUGGGCGUAAAGCGUGCGUAGGCGGCUAAUUGAGUCGGAUGUGAAAUCCCCGAGCUUAACUUGGGAAUUGCAUUCGAUACUGGUUAGCUAGAGUGUGGGAGAGGAUGGUAGAAUUCCAGGUGUAGCGGUGAAAUGCGUAGAGAUCUGGAGGAAUACCGAUGGCGAAGGCAGCCAUCUGGCCUAACACUGUCGCUGAGGUACGAAAGCAUGGGGAGCAAACAGG
rnacentral:rRNA from 1 species